rnacentral:rRNA from 1 species
GACGAACGCUGGCGGCGUGCUUAACACAUGCAAGUCGAACGGAAAGGCCCUGCUUUUGUUGGGUUCUCGAGUGGCGAACGGGUGAGUAACACGGGAGUAACCUGCCCUUGACUUUGGUAUAACGUCAGGAAACUGGGGCUAAUACCGGAUAGGAGCUCCUGCUGCAUGUUGGGGGUUGGAAAGUUUCGGCGGUUGGGUAUGGACUCGCGGCUUAUCAGCUUGUUUGUGGGGUAGUGGCUUACCAAGGCUUUGACGGGUAGCCGGCCUGAGAGGGUUACCGGCCCACUUGGGACUGAGCUACGGCCCAGAGUACUACGGGAGGCAGCAGUGGGGACUAUUGCACAAUGCGCGGAAGCAUGAUGCAGCAACGCCGCGUGCCGGAUGACGGCCUUCGGGUUGUAAACAGCUUUAGCCUGUGACGAAGCGUGAGUGACGGUAAUGUGUAAAGAAGCACCGGCUAACUCCGUG